AAAUAACUGCCACCGGGUAGUAAAAAUGCUUAAAAGCAUUCGUGUGUACAUCGUUAGGUCUUUGAAGAUGUGCAUUACGAAUGCUUUUUUGAG
rnacentral:ncRNA from 1 species